AUCAAAAAGGGGAAACUUACCAAUUAUUUUCCUUAGGCUAUUAUGGGUAGAUUAGAAUAAAGAGAGAAGGAAAAAGAAAGAAGAGCAUUAUGCUACAUUGGUGUCGUCAGCCUAGAGAGAGGGAGAGAGAGAGAGAGAGAGGCGUGUUCUGGAGAGAAGAAGAAGAAGAAAAAGAUGAUGAUGAAGAAGAAGAAGAAGAAGGGAUCAAUCCUAGGAAAACUCUAGGCUUAAACAAGGGGUGAUAUAGUUGAGUAUUGGUCACUUGGGUGUUCUUGAUUUUACAAUCAAGAGCAAAUAGGAUUUCUCUUUGGCACGCGUGGUGAUGUGGGGAGUUCUAUCGUCAGGGUGUGUAUGGCGUGGGGGCAUCCUAUAGACGAGAAACGAUCUGUUUAAACGCCAUUUUCUACAGAAUAAUGUUAUGUUUAUUUUUUUAACUUUCAGAACUUAUCAGUGGGACUUGAACUUUAAUUAUUUUUAAAACGUUGCAUGAAAACUGU